CUUUUUUGUAUGUACCCUAUGAAUAAGCAUCGGCUAACUCCGUGCCAGCAGCCGCGGUAAUACGGAGGAUGCGAGCGUUAUCCGGAUUUAUUGGGUUUAAAGGGUGCGUAGGUGGUGAUUUAAGUCAGCGGUGAAAGUUUGUGGCUCAACCAUAAAAUUGCCGUUGAAACUGGGUUACUUGAGUGUGUUUGAGGUAGGCGGAAUGCGUGGUGUAGCGGUGAAAUGCAUAGAUAUCACGCAGAACUCCGAUUGCGAAGGCAGCUUACUAAACCAUAACUGACACUGAAGCACGAAAGCGUGGGGAUCAAACAGGAUUAGAUACCCUGGUAGUCCACGCAGUAAACGAUGAUUACUAGGAGUUUGCGAUACAAUGUAAGCUCUACAGCGAAAGCGUUAAGUAAUCCACCUGGGGAGUACGCCGGCAACGGUGAAACUCAAAGGAAUUGACGGGGGCCCGCACAAGCGGAGGAACAUGUGGUUUAAUUCGAUGAUACGCGAGGAACCUUACCCGGGCUUGAAUUGCAACUGAAUGAUGUGGAGACAUGUCAGCCGCAAGGCAGUUGUGAAGGUGCUGCAUGGUUGUCGUCAGCUCGUGCCGUGAGGUGUCGGCUUAAGUGCCAUAACGAGCGCAACCCUUAUCACUAGUUACUAACAGGUGAAGCUGAGGACUCUGGUGAGACUGCCAGCGUAAGCUGUGAGGAAGGUGGGGAUGACGUCAAAUCAGCACGGCCCUUACAUCCGGGGCGACACACGUGUUACAAUGGCAUGGACAAAGGGCAGCUACCUGGUGACAGGAUGCUAAUCUCCAAACCAUGUCUCAGUUCGGAUCGGAGUCUGCAACUCGACUCCGUGAAGCUGGAUUCGCUAGUAAUCGCGCAUCAGCCAUGGCGCGGUGAAUACGUUCCCGGGCCUUGUACACACCGCCCGUCAAGCCAUGGGAGCCGGGGGUACCUGAAGUGCGUAACCGCGAGGAGCGCCCUAGGGUAAAACUGGUGACUGGGGCUAAGUCGUAACAAGGUAGCCGUACCGGAAGGUGCGGCUG
rnacentral:rRNA from 1 species